GAUGAAGAACGUAGCGAAAUGCGAUAAGUAAUGUGAAUUGCAGAAUUCAGUGAAUCAUCGAAUCUUUGAACGCACACUGCGCCCGCCAGUAUUCUGGCGGGCAUGCCUGUUCGAGCGUCAUUACAACCCUCAGGCCCCCGGGCCUGGCGUUGGGGAUCGGCGGAGCCCCCCGUGGGCACACGCCGUCCCCCAAAUGCAGUGGCGGUCCCGCCGCAGCUUCCAUCGCGUAGUAGCUAACACCUCGCGACUGGAGAGCGGCGCGGCCACGCCGUAAAACACCCAACUCUUCUGAAGUUGACCUCGAAUCAGGUAGGAAUACCCGCUGAACUUAAGCAUAUCAAUAAGCGGAGGA
rnacentral:misc_RNA from 1 species